UCUGGCAGCCAUACCACUUUGUGCUGGGAGCCUGUCAGUUCUUACUAGCUGAGUAAGGGCUGGGCUGCUUUGGUGCAAGGAUGAGAGACCUCCCAGGAACAAGUAGGUACUUCAGGAA
ensembl:rRNA 5S_rRNA 5S ribosomal RNA